UACGGGGGGGGCAAGCGUUGUUCGGAAUUACUGGGCGUAAAGGGCUUGUAGGUGGCCAACUAAGUCAGACGUGAAAUCCCUCGGCUCAACUGAGGAACUGCACGGGAAACUGCUUGGCUUGAGUUCGGGAGAGGGAAGCGGAAUUCCGGGUGUAGCGGUGAAAUGCGUAGAUAUCGUAAGGAAGACCAGUGGCGAAGGCGGGUCUCUGGACAGUUCCUGACGCUGAGGCACGAAGGUCAGGGGAGCAAACGGG
rnacentral:rRNA from 1 species